rnacentral:rRNA from 1 species
AACGAACGCUGGCGGCAGGCUUAACACAUGCAAGUCGAGCGCAUCCUUCGGGGUGAGCGGCAGACGGGUGAGUAACGCGUGGGAAUGUACCCUUUGCUACGGAAUAGCUCCGGGAAACUGGAAUUAAUACCGUAUGAGCCCUUCGGGGGAAAGAUUUAUCGGCAAAGGAUCAGCCCGCGUUGGAUUAGCUAGUUGGUGGGGUAAAGGCCUACCAAGGCGACGAUCCAUAGCUGGUCUGAGAGGAUGAUCAGCCACAUUGGGACUGAGACACGGCCCAAACUCCUACGGGAGGCAGCAGUGGGGAAUAUUGGACAAUGGGCGCAAGCCUGAUCUAGCCAUGCCGCGUGAGUGAUGAAGGCCUUAGGGUUGUAAAGCUCUUUCAGUAGGGAAGAUAAUGACGGUACCUACAGAAGAAGCCCCGGCUAACUUCGUGCCAGCCGCCGCAGUAA